rfam:Triticum urartu cultivar G1812 contig1057896, whole genome shotgun sequence.
AACAUACUCCCUCCGUUCGGAAUUACUUGUUACAGAAAUAGAUGUAUCUAAAUGUGUUUUCAUUCUAGAUAUAUUCAUUUCCGAGACAAGUAAUUUCGAACGGAGGGAGUAUAUC